AGAGUUUGAUCCUGGCUCAGGACGAACGCUGGCGGCGUGCUUAACACAUGCAAGUCGAACGGAAAGGUCUCUUCAGAGACGCUCGAGUGGCGAACGGGUGAGUAACACGUGGGUGAUCUGCCUGCACUUCGGGAUAAGCCUGGGAAACUGGGUCUAAUACCGGAUAGGACCACGGGAUGCAUGUCUUGUGGUGCAAAGCG
rnacentral:rRNA from 1 species